AAAUGUGGUGAAGCAAGCACGUCUUCAUCGACAUGCUUGCCCAGGGAUAUUUUAGUCUUUUCGUUGAAUUUUUUGUCCAUUGUUUCCACCGCCACUUUUAUUGUUUAUCCAUUUUCCUUACCACUUCUUCUUCAAGCUUUUCUACGCUUUUUCAUUGGAAUGAUUUUCCUGCAACUGUCUGCAUCUCAGCUUAAUUUGGGAGUUUGAGAAUCAAGCUAGAGCAUUAGGAACUCAACAUCAGCAACAAGAUUUGCAUAGUGAGUUCUACUGUUUCAAAUUUCAACUCCUCAUGUGCUUUUGGAUCCAUGGGGUAACAGUUGCUGAAAUGCCUCUAAUGGCAACAUACAAUAAAUACCGCCGCCAGGGAAUAUGUAGCGUCUUCUAAAUUCUAUACUGGAGGCAUUUUUUCAGCUGAGCUAUAUGGUAAAAUGUCUCUUGGACUCUUUCAUUGGUUGCAGAAAGAUUGAGAACAGAGAUGAUUUUCGAAACAAGAGAUUGGAGCUGGCUGGUGAGCUCCUUGAACGAGAGCUCAGGACACACAUUAAACAUGUCGAGAGGUGUAUGGUGGAGGCAAUACAAAGAGAUCUUUAUGGAGAUCGACCAGUGCAGCCAAUUGAGCACUACUUGGAUACAUCAAUAAUACCAAUGGUGUCUCCAGGGCAUUUUCCACUGGACAUUGGUGUCACCCUUACAAGAGAAUGGAUAUGGUUUUCGGUGUAGUUGCAACUCUUAGACGAACAAAUCCAUUGCAAAUGACUACCGAUAUGAGGAAAACGCGUCAGCAGGUUACAUACACCGGGAGGGUUGGUGAUACACUGAUACUAGAUAUUCACUUCCUUCUCACUAGGGAAAAUGGCCUCUUCUUGGAUCUGCUUCCUUCAGCUGGAAUCAAUCAUGUAGUUUUCACCAAAAAAACAUGUUCUUUUCCCAACCAAGUUUUUAAAUAAAGGUUAUUUAUUCAAUUUACCAUUUAAGUGCAUUUUAUUUCCUAAGAAAUUUAGAUUACGUAGAUUAUUUAUGUAGUUUGUUUUUUAGAUUUAUUAAUGACCUUUUUAAAAAGCAGGUAGAGAUGUCUGAAGCCUAUAAGUUUUUGAGCAUUAGUUUCCUUUACAACUACAGGUCUUUCCUUGCAAAGUUGUUUUCUUUGCAUACAAUUAGGUACUACGAUCUUCAAUUCCGACUGGUAAAACAUGAACUGAGAGCAAUAUGCAGAGAAAACUUGCAGGAUCUGCUCAUGACGAGGGCGAAGUCCCUGCUAUAUUGCUUACUGAUGUUGAUAGUUCAUUCAUUUUUUUGACUUGGGCUCUCUCUUUGUUUCAAACUUUGCUUGCCUGGCUCACCUUAUCGUUCUUUGUUGUUGAAAAGUGAUUUUCAGUACAUACUAGAUCUUUAGCUUAUUUACUGUUCAAAAAUGUACUCUUUGUUGCAACAUGUCUUACAAUUUGGAGAAUGAUGUCACUUGUGAGACUCCUAAUGAGAUAAACUCAUUUGCUUUUGCUAUGAUAUAUAUAAUUUUCCCAUACAAUAUUAGAAACAUUUAAUAUUGGGUCUACCAUCUAGUAUACAUACAAUAUGUGAGCAUUAUUUAAAAAUAAAAAAAAUUACUUAACACUACACCUUUUUAAUAUUACUUAAAAUCCCACAUCUACAAAGUAAUUACAAAAAUUUUAACUCACUUUCUCUAUACAUAACGUUAUUGGAUAUUUUCACUUUAAAGUGCAGUUUUCCUGGAAGAAGACAGGCAUGCAACAGAGUUAAACCCACUGGCGGAACACCUCCAUCCGACCCACUCUUCCGCCGGCCACCACCCACCGAUGAAACAUUUCCAUCACCGUUGAACCCAAUUACUACUCUUUCAACUCCAUUAAAAACGAAUUGAAAUAGAGUCGCGGUGUCAUUGCUAUCUCCAUUGCUCCGAUUAAUUUUCAGUGAAGCUUUGUUAAACCCAUGGAAAAGUCAUUGUUAAAUAUGUAUCGGAAUGAAGAUACAUCAUGGGAUCUGCUAAAAAAGUACAAAUAAAGGGAAUUUAGAGAUUCAUCAAUGGAGGUUGAACAUGAUGAUGACGUCCUCCACCAUCACAUCUCGAAUCCAUGAUAGUGUACAAGACAAUUCAAGCCAUGAGGAAUUUUAAAGUUUGGAGAUUCGUCAAGGGAGGUUGAAGAUGAUGAUGUUAUUGAAGAUACAUAAGAACGACGUGUAUGUGAAGAGAGUUCGGAGAUACAUAAGAAUGAUAUAUUUAAUAGAAAAUGAUAAGAAGAUACCUCACACGAUUCUUCACCAAAUGUACAAAAGUUAUACAUCUUACUAAUAUUAGGUUUCAGAUACAUAAGAAAGAUGUAUUUGAUUGAAAAUCUAUAAGAAAAAAUCAUGUA